rnacentral:rRNA from 1 species
GUGUUCGGAUCGCGGCGACGAAGGCGGUUCGCCGCCCCCGACGUCGCGAGAAGUCCAUUGAACCUUAUCAUUUAGAGGAAGGAGAAGUCGUAACAAGGUUUCCGUAGGUGAACCUGCGGAAGGAUCAUUG